GUAUCCAAUGACAGGGGGCGCUAUGUCCAACUGGUUCAAACUGGUUUGGUUCUUAUAUUUCAUGGUAUAAACUAGAAAAACAUUGCUUAGCGAUAUACAUGCGCCAUUUUAAGCAGCUCCCCUGUCUGCACAGAGUACUGUGACUCCCGUGUGAGAAGGAAAAAAGACCGUUUUGCCCGUCAUUUUUUUUCACAUUUUAUCUGCGACGACAUGGCAAAAGCGAAGUCAAGUGCCACCAUUGAGAGACGGUGUUCCCCACGCCUGUUAGCGAAACCCAAAGCCCCUCCAGUGGAAGUCAAGAAGAGAGCUGCCACCAAAAAGGGGCCCAAAGCAAAGAAAACCAAGGCAGAGAACGGCAACGCCAAGGCUGAGGAGCCCAAGGCCGACGCCGCAGAAUCCAAAUGAGUUGACAUCAACAUGCUCUCUAUCCGUUUCCCCUCCCACCCCGACCCUACCCCACCCCUUCCUGUGUACUUGGUGAUUGUACAGUUUGAAAUAAGUAUUUUUUACCAAGUUUUAUAUUACAAAUGUCCGUUAUUAGGUUUGCCUUGCACUUGAUGUAACACUUGGUGUUCUCACGACGCUCACUCAUAUCUGUUUUGGAAUUUCUUACACCCCCGCCAUUCAUACCUCAUAGCUAGCCGUCUCUCUUUCUCUCCUUUCUGUCUUUUUUUUUUUAACUGCUGAAUUUUUGACCCUUUGACACACAUUUUCAAACAUAAGGCAGCUAAUAAAAAAGUCUUAAGUUACGACUUACCAAAUGUUUUUAAAACACUGUAUGUUAAAAAAAA